CUCCGAGCGGGGCGCGGGGAGGCGGUGGCGGCUGCGGCGGGGCCGCGCGGCCGCCGCCAUGUUCCGCUCUGGAGAGGAGGUUGUAAGCGAGGAGAGUGAGGAGGAAAGCAAUGGUGUCAACUUGAUGGAGUUCUCAGAUGAGAUCCUUCUGCACAUCCUCAGCUACGUCCCUUGCACAGACCUUGUUCUGAAUGUCAGGAGAACCUGCAGGAAACUCGCAACGCUUUGCCUUGACAAGAGUCUAACACAUACAGUUCUCCUUCAGAAGGACUAUAAGGUGAACAAAGACAAAGUGAAGCAGCUGAUGAGGGAUAUCGGGAAGGAGAUUUACCAGCUGAACAUGGCCGGGUGCUACUGGCUGCCCAGCUCCACCAUCGAUCACGUAACACGCUGCAAGAACCUGGUGAAGCUCAACUUGUCCGGGUGCCACGUCACCUCUCUCCGGCUCUCCAAGAUGCUCUCCACGCUCCAGCACCUGCGCUCCCUGGCCAUCGAUGUCAACCCGGGCUUUGAUGCCAGCCAGCUGAGCAGUGAGUGCAAAGCCACCCUCAGCCGUGUCUCGGAGCUGAAGCAAACCCUCUACACGCCGUCGUACGGCGUCGUCCCGUGCUGCACGAGCCUUGAGAAACUGCUGCUUUAUUUUGAGAUCCUCGACCGCUCGCGAGAGGGGUUCAUGCUCUCUGGGCAGCUGAUGGUGGGCGAGAGCAACGUGCCCCACUACCAGAACCUCCGCAUCUUCUACGCCAGGCUGGCUCCUGGCUACGUCAAUCAGGAGGUGGUGAGGCUGUACUUGGCAGUGCUGAGUGAUCGGACGCCUGAGAACCUCCACGCCUUCCUGAUCUCUGCCCCCGGCAGCUUUGCGGAGACGGGAGCCACCAAAAACCUCCUGGACUCCAUGGCUCGAAAUGUACGUCUGGAUGCUUUACAAUUGCCCAAAGCCUGGAUUAACGGCUCCGGGCUCCUGCAACACUUGAAGUUCAACAACCCUUUCUACUUCAGCUUUAGCCGAUGCACCUUAUCUGGUGGGCACCUGAUCCAGAGGGUCAUUAAUGGAGGGAAGGAUCUUAAAAGCCUGACCAGUUUGAAUCUCAGUGGCUGUGUUCACUGUCUGGCUCCGGAGUCCUUGUUUCGGAAAGCAGAAGAUGACAUUGACAGCAGCAUUUUGGAAAGCCUGGUAGUGUCUUGCUGCAACCUGAGGCACCUCAACCUGUCUGCAGCUCACCAUCACAGCUCUGAAAGCAUUGGGAACCACCUGUGCCAGCUGCUGUCCAGGCUAAAGCACCUGCUCUCGUUAGCACUGCCGGUUUGCUCCAUCACAGAUGUUGCUGCAACCGUGGAGAAGCCUCCCACGGCUCCUAGUUUGGUGCCCCAAACAUUUGGAAGGAAAGUUCGGAUUGGGAUACAGACAUAUCCAAGGAACUUAGCGGACCAGGCAAAUCAGAAGAUAGAGUCCUCAGUGUUCUGGGCUCUGAUGGGAAGCCUCCGGUUUUUGGAAACCUUGGAGAUAAUUGGGUCCAGUUUCUCCUCUGCCAUGCCCCGCAACGAGCCAGCAAUUCGGAACUCGUUGCCUCCUUGUGUCAGGGCACAAAGCGUGGGGGAUUCAGAGGUGGCUGCCAUUAGCCAAUUGACUUACCUGCAGAGCCUCACCUUAGCACAGCUGCCAAAUAUUCUCACUGGCUCUGGGCUCGUUAACAUCGGGCUGCAGUGCCAGCACCUGCGGACUCUUUCCUUGGCCAACCUGGGCAUGAUGGGGAAGGUGGUCUAUAUGUCUGCUCUCAUGGACAUGCUGAAACACUGCAAGUGUUUGAGAGAUCUCAGGCUGGAACAGCCGUACUUCUGUGCGGGCGCCCAGUUCUUCCAGGCACUGAGUCACUGCUCCUCUCUCCAGCGGCUUUGCAUCGUCUCCCGGAGCGGGACUCUGCAGUCUGACGCAGUGAUGUCAUUCAUGGCCAACUGCCUUGAGGUCAUCAUGUGCCACAUGUUUAUGGGAGAAUCUCUUACCGUUUGCAAAAAUCUCCAGCAAUCCAUUGUGCGGAGUUUCCAGGCAGAACGCCCUGCAUUAAAUGUCGUCAUUUUCCCUCUGCUUCAUGAGGACUUGACAGAGGUCAUCAGAGAUGUCCCCAUGCGGCACUUGGAUGAAAUUACCUUGUUUAAGAGCAGAGUGGCCGAGGAACCUCCCAAUUUGUGGUGGUGACUGUCACAGCAGGGAAAGGACAAGUCAGCGUGAACACGUGGAAUAGCUUCUUGUUGGCCUGGAUUGCCCGUCUUCGGCUCCUGGCCACCUCACUGGAUGCUGUACAAUCACUUUAACCAGGUGCAAUUGCAAAAUAAUAAUAAAGAAAAAAGCUGGUCCUUUGCAGUGGGGAAAAAUCUGUUGGAUGUUUGCUUGCAUCUGAAAAUCCUGUCUCAAAGGCUUCUGGAAUCUUGAUGAGUAUUUCCUUGCGGUUGAUAUGAAUUGUUUCGUUAUUUUGCUGAAGUUAAAGGGAUAGUGGUACACGGAAACUAGGCUUCAGCACCUACUUUGGAUUGAGAAAACCUACAAAAUAAACACGCAGGAGGAUCAGCUUUGUGGAAAAUGGUGCAGCUCAGGUACCCACGUGCUUAAGUCAGCUCACCCCAGGUAGGUGAAGUAGAGGAGAGCGUCAGAAUGCGGUUGUGAUCAGUUUUUAAAAGGUGAGUGAGUCUGUGCAGGACUUGUGUUAGGACUGUGUGCUGAGAUCUCUGCCUGCAGUGAUCCAAGGUUUUAUUCCAGGGUGGAUCACAGGCCCUCCUCUGUUGUUUUUCAGUUCUGGCAGGUCUGCUCACUCGGGCACAGAGCAGAGACCCUCCCUCCAUCCCUCCUGUGCUUGUGUUUAACUUAUGGAUUUUAUUGUUCCAAUAACUUUUAUCUAAAUGUGGUUUUGGGGGAGGGAGGAAGGAGAUAAGGAGGGAGGAGACUGAAGAAAGAAUGUGCUUUUGGACUCUGCUAAGUCUCCAUCUUAUCGCUGGGCCUUGCCGUGGGGUUUUGGCAUUCAGGAUUCCAGGGGAGGACUCCAGUGGGAAGUGGCUGAAAGGGCCGUGGUUGAUGUGAAACACUGGUGGGGGGAAACCCAAGGAAGGCCCAUGCAGAGCAUCCCCCUUCCCAUUUGGUACUGAUCUUGUGUCCUCUGCCAGCUUAUAUGUUGGCAAGGAGGGACCUGACUUGGUUUCAAGCAGGAAGAACUGGAGCAGAGGUGUGGAAAGGCUGAGGGAGAAGAGCUCAGCUUGGCACAGGGAGGGAUGGAUGUCUCAGUGUGUUUCUGGUUUUACCCUCACCUGUACAGUCAGUAUUUAGGCACAUGGAGUAUUGAUGUCAGCAAGGUGGGCAAGAGUCCCUGGUUCUUCCACCUUCUGGGACCUUGUCUGGGAGGUCUCCAGGCCUGGGAUGGCAGGAGGAGAGGUCUCCUGGGUCUGUGCUCUGUGUAACUUCUCACUCCCUGGGUCAAUUUGGGAGCAGCAUGUGCGUUGCUGGCUCCGAGGUGGAGGCAGGAGAGAAGGGAAUGUGGAGAAGAGCAGCCAAGUUGCUUCAACUCCCAGAGGCUUUGUUUGUGGCCACAGGAUGCAGCUGACAAUUUGCAAGGUGCUAAUUUUGGGCUUGGUACUUCCCAGCCCCAGAGGUGGCCUCUCCCCAGGGUGCAUGCACGAGGGAGAACCUGCGUGUGAGGGAGGUUUCUGACCAUGGGGAAAGGUGGAAAGUCUUGGGAAGGACCAGGAGGAGAGGAGAAGUUAUGGUGUCAGGGCAUUUGGUAAGCCAUAGCCUCUGUUCAGUUCCCGUGAUCCAGCCCUGUUUUUGCUUUCUGGUUGGCAUCAGAGUGGACUCCAGAGUCGCAUUCCCAUUUCACUGUGCUUGAAUUUGGUUUUGGUGUGGUGGUGAAGGUUUGCAUGGAGAGGGAGAGCCACGGUGAGUGGAGAAGAGGAGAAAAAGGAUGAGCUUUCUCUCUCCUAGGAAGUACAAAUGGAUGGAGCGGUAUUUCUGAACAAACAAGUCUCUCAUCCCUGUCUCCUGGAAGCUGCAUUAUCAGAGCACCAUCACUGUCCUCUCUUCUCCUUCCUACCCCCCCACCCCCGCGAUGAGCAGGAAUUAAAAAUACAACUAAUAAAACCCUUUUACUUUCUCCAGCAGGAGAAAAAAAAAAAGAAAGCAAAGCAGCCUUGAAAAUGCUAAAGGACAUAAAGGGCAUUCAUGAAAGGGUUGGAUGGUGGUUAUUGCAGCAGGGGGAAAAACAUUAUUUCACUGUGCAGAUAAAAGGAAGUGGAAAAGCAGCAUAUUUAUAGCUGGGGAGCCUGGAUUCCUUGUUAAGCUGCUAUUAUCAAAUUAAUGUCAAAAUGCAUCAAACAGGCACGAGUGUUCUGGGCCCCUUAUGCAAAGUGCUUGCAAAUUGGUUACAAAUACAUUUGUUUACAGGGGACGAGGCAGGAGCGAGCUAAUUAGUCAUUGUAGCAGGGCUGUUUUCUGUCCUUUUUUUUCUAUUUUUUUUAACAUUUUUUUGGCAAUUACACAAACAAGCUGUUUUGAAGUAUAAAUACGUGCUGCAUUACAGCCCCUUUUAAAGGGAAUCAAAUAGGAAUUGUGGAUGCAGAGGGCUUGACGUGAGCCUUGUUGCCUCUCCUCCCUGGACACUGCAGCCCGUGCUGGGCGCUCGGCUCCGGGAUGUGGUGUGGAAACCGACAGGAGAGCAUUGGCAGGGUGAGGUGUGGGUGGAAAGGGAACAGCUUGUGGUUUUGGGUCAUCCAAGGGGGUUGAUAACCCCUCAUAGGGGGCACAGUGUCAGGGUGGGGGUGGCUGUAGUUGCUCCAGCUCGCUGAGCACUUUGGAUGCCAUGAGGCUGCAGCCACAUCCCAUGCUGGGGAUUGGCCAUUUGGGUGUGGGAUCUGUGGAGGUUUCAGUCGCCCACCAGUAUUGUGGGAAUUCCCUUUGGGUUUGGGAUAUUUUGAGGUGCUUUGGCUGUAAGCAGCAGCUGCCAGCUCAGGGUAUGAAGCACUUUGUGCCCAGCUACUUGGUACCAACAUUGUUUUGGGGGAUGCCCUGACAUACAGAGCAUCCCAUGGUUGGGUGACAACAUCCACUCAAUGUGAAGAAAGGAGUCUGGUGUUCCCUCAGGUGAACGUGUCUUCAGGGCUUCUUUAACCAAACCACAGGCUGUGCCUCCCAAACCUGUUAAUGAGGAAGGGAAGCAGGAAAUCUUAUCUGAUCUUCAGUGUGGGAAUGGUUGGGGAAUUUGGUUGGGGGGCAGAUGGAAACUUCCCACUGCCCUGCAUCUUAAUGCAUCCCGUUCUGGAAUUAAAUCACACCUCUGCCACUCAGGGGAAGCUGCUAAUUGAAUCUGCUCUGAUGGGAGAGAGAAUGAAGCCAAGAGGCAUUUACUACCAUUAGUAUUAUUUUUAAUUUACUAAGAAAGAGAAAAGAGAGAGGAAGGAACAUGCUGUUGCCCCUCUCGUGCUGGAGGCCCCGACAUUUCUUGGCAGAAGGUGCAAACAGCCCCGUGGCUGCUUCUGCAUUUGGAUUUGUUUGUGGUAAAUCUGCCCUUCAGGCUGGAAUAACCCUUCUGAGCAGGUCCUGUGGUACCAGAGGUGCUGGGAACAUUGAGUUUAAUGCCAUCAUAAAACCCUGCUGUGGUUUCCAUUCCCUCAGGGGGGGCAGUGACUGUGCAGGAUGGUCGUGCUCAGCAUGGCUUUCGUGCCAGCAAAGCCUGGGGUGCUUCAGGUCCUGCCGUGGAUGGAGCUGGAUGGCAUCCUGAGGUCCCUCUGGGAUCAGAGCCCCUCUCAGAAGCCCAUGGCUUGGUGCAGUAAAGGGACAUGAGCCCGGCUGAGCUCCCCAAGCCCCGUUCAUGAGGGUCGUUGAUGAUGAAGAGAUAUUUUGUGUCUCCAGCCUCCCGGCUCCCCCAUGGUUUGCAGAUGUUGGGUGCAGCACAUCACUAAGCUCAUCUGGGUGGGAACAGCACAGAAGAAAAUCUUCUUGGAGGACCAAGAGCAGUAGGAGAGGGAAGGGCUUUCCCUGGCCUCCUGCAAGAUCUCUGAUGUUUGCUCCAGGUUUUAUUCUUGUAAAACUCAGGGUAUCAUUUCUCUGCACCUUGGACCUGAUUUUCAGCACUACCUUCAAACUCCAAACCUCUCGUUACCAUUUCUUGUCCCAUUGACUUUGGCGGGCUCAUUGGCCCACUCCAUUGGGAUCAGGGUGUAUGAUUUUGAGGAAUGUUCCCAUUUCUAGCGUAAUCCUACCCCUGCCCUAUGAGCUCUGCAGGAGCACAGCUCAGCUGGUCAGCAAAUGUGUGAGCAGCCCAUUGCAAUCAGGCUUUAACUCACGCCCAGUUGUUCCAAUCAGAAUGUGUCUCUCUUCAUUUACAGCAGGGCUCUGGCUCCGGUUUGACUGUCACCUCUGAUGAUUGUUGGUGACUGUGGCAUGGGAAUGGAUCCUGCUGUGGUUUGAGCUGUGGGUGUUUCAUGCCUGCUUUUCUUGUGCAGGAGUGUGCCAGCAUCUCUUUGCUGUGAUGGUCAGAAGCAGACCUCCAGUUCCCACCCUCUGAAUCCCACGUGGGCAGCACGAGGGCUGAGCCGGGUUGGGGAGCGAUGUGGCCUCUCCUGAUAAGCAGCUCCAGUUCCUGCUCCUGCAGAUUUACAGCCGGGGAAUGGGGAGCUCCUGCCCCAUGAAGGCACCUGGGCAGCCUCAGCAGGGAGGAGGAAACUUUUCUGGACUUCUGAGCCCCAGCGUCAUUCCCUGUGCCCAAACCUCUGCCCGUGUCUCCCCUCCUUCCAUGGACACUUGGCCACCAGACUGCAGCAUAUAAUAAAUAGCUCCCUCAUCAAAUUUGGGUGAAAUACCGUGAAUUAACUCACCAAGACUGUUUGUCCAGGCUGUCCCAGCUGAAAUGGCUCCAGGCUGAGGAUCACUUGACCAUCCCAGGAGCUGACAGGGGCCAGGCGAGGAUGAGGAGCAAGAAGUAGAGGAAGGCAGCACUUGAUGCCCAUGAGUGAGUCCCUUCCAGGCAGUGGGAGAACCCUCCUGUGGGCUUCAUCUUCCUGGCAGCCCAGAAAGCAGCUGGUGUGGUUCUGGUGUCUCCCUCUUUCCCGUACGCCUCCCCAUGGGACCGUGCCUCCGAGUCAGCAUCUCCUGAGGUGGUCACUUUUUUUUCUUUCUUUUUCAGAAAAUAAUUUUAAAUGCAUGACUGGCAAUUCAAGAGAAAACGGGAGGAAGGGUUGUUAUUGCUGAGGAUCUCAGCCCAGCCGGAGGAGACGUGUUCCUUUUGUGGAAUCAAACAUCCGUCAGGGAUCCGUCAUGCAAAUUUAUUUCACUUUUCUUCUUUUUUACCUAUUCCAUUGAUCCAGAGCCUGUAGCAGUUGGCUCAUGGAGAGAGAGGUUUGUUAAUUCAGGAGCCUCAGUCGGUGAGGAUGGGAAUUUGCCAAAGCUCCUGGCUCAGGGGGGUGCUUUGUGCCAUGCAUGGGGACUGUGGCACUGUGGGCUGGGACACAUCCCUCCAAAGGAGAGGGGAGAGGUAUUUGCUGUGUUCCCUGGGCAUUGUGUGUGCCUGGAGUGGCUUGGAAAGGCAGGAGAGUAGCUGCCAGCUCUGCCAAAGCUGCUUCCCACCAUGGGAAGGGACAAGGACACUUGGUCAUGCUGCUGGGUCAGUCACUGCCAGCCCUGAGGAGUAAAUGUGAGUUAAACCCUUAAAAUCACAAGACGGUGUUAAAAAUAUCCAACUAUGAAAUUACAUUUUAUUUUAUUAUUAUUAUUAGACUCUUCAGUCCAUCUGGGUGUUUUCAGGAGUGACCUGCCAAAUUUCUCUCUGCAGGUGGGAGGUUCAGGGUCCUGUCACUUCCAACGGCAUCUUCAUGUUGAAGAGAGAUGAUUCCAGCCCGACUGCUGGCUGAGGAUCCAUGUCUGUGUCUUGGGGAAGGUGCCAGGCUGCCUUGCAUGGUCUGAGUCUUCAGAGAAUCCCAGAACAGUUUGGGUUGGAAGGGACCAUAAAGAUCACCUUGUUCCAACCCCCUGCCAUGGGCAGGGACACCUUCCACUAGACCAGGUUACUCAAAGCCCCAUCCAACCUAGUCUUGAGUCUUCUCCUUCAUCAGUCUCUUCUCCUGGGCAUGAAGAGCAGAUGGAGCUGCCUGGGCAAGGGCCAGAAGCUGGUGCUUUUACUGCUGUGGAGAAUCUUCUGUUCUGGAAGGAAGAGCCAAACCCCUCCGGGAGCCGGAGCACAUCCAGCGGUCGGAGCCUGAGAAGCCUCACUCUCUGUGACAUUCUCUGUGUCCCUGCAAUGCUGCUCCUCCUCUGCUCUGCUGGAAGCACUGCUUCGUCCUUCAAGAAAAUUUCUUUUUUGCUUGAAUUGAGUAUUUUUAUUCUUUUUCCCCCCCAAAAACCGAUCUCUGUGUGUCUUUGCAGGCCAGCUCUGGUUCGCUGUGGGACGCAGAGGCCAUGCCCUCAGCUGAUGACUCUGGAUGAGUUAAGACACAUGUGGGUGUCCCCACCAUGUGGGCUUGUGUGGCUGCAGAGGAGCCGCUGAGCAUCCCUGCUGCCGGGAGAACCAGGGAGAUUCCUCAUUAAAACAAUUUGGGAGACGUUCAUCUGAACAGAAAUCUGAAUUUAUUCUGCUCGCGCUGCCUCUCCUCCGUCUCCUCUUCCUCAGGCAGCGGAAUUUGCUGGUAUCGCCUCCUUUCCCCGGGCUUCUCCUCAGCCCCAGCAAUGACUUGUCUGAAUAAUUCAACUGAAAAUUCAGGAUCGCAAGUAAAUACGGGAUAAUUGCUAACAGCUCCCAGGCAAUCCGCUGCCAGAGGGCGGCUAAACUCCCGGUGAAUUAUUUAUCCGCUGUGAAUUAUUUGCCUGGCCCUGCUACGGAAGAAAAGCUCCUUCCCAACCUUUGCCUGACGAAUGGCCUGGCUGGGGGCGACUCUCCGGGUGCUGACUCAGCCCUUUCCCAGCUCCAUGCCUGUUCCUGCUGCCUGCAGCUCCCGUUGCUGGGUGCCUGGGUCGGCGCGUGGCCCUGGGGAGGCGAAGUGCCGGAUGGGGGCUGGAACCACCUCCUCCUGCAGGCAAGGUUUUUCAGCUCUUUGGUCUCUUCAGAAGCACGGAGACCACCCCUGGGACUCCUCCCGAGGGAGCGUGGGUGCUGGGGGGUGCUGCCCCUCUCCUCUAGCUGCGGUGAUCUGGGGGCUUUCCAUGGAGCUGGCAGUGAGGGAUGUGGUGUUGAGGUGUCUGAACAGGAGCUGGAGAGGCUCAAGGUUUGUCGCUGUCAUUGCUGCUGUUCCCAGCUUUCCAGCAGGUUUGCUCUGCAGAGAGCUGCAGGGCCGUUGUCUGCCUUUAUGGCUAUCUGCUCUUCGGGUGCUCUGCAGUUCCAAUGCACUUGGCAAUUCAGCCUGUAAAUACCCCUCUCCGGGAUUUAUGAUUCGGGAUAAUGUGAUUUUUCUCUUUGCCUCUGGAUUCGUUUGUUUGGUUUAGUUUAACGACAUUUCCUUGUCUGUGCAUAAGUGAGGGCACGCAGGGAAUUUUUUUCCCCUCCCCUCUUUGCAGGGAUCUAUUAGCAAUGAGCAAAAAUGGCUUUUUUAGGGAGCUGAUGGACACGCCGGGGGGGCCAAAGCCAGUCCUGAAUCCCUGAUGAGCAACCCCAGUCAUCACAAACCAUCUAUUUUUUCCUACAGAAAGCUUGUUUUUGAGGUUUUAUCGAGAAAGCAGCUUUCCACCAAAGCAAAGCCAAGCCCUUUCCAUGAUGUUUGAGGGCUACUUCAUCAGGGAGAGGCAGCAGGAGGCACAGUCCAGUAUGGAAAAGCUGUUUGCUUCCCAAAAUGAGGCUCGAGAAGCCAAAUGAGAUGUUUGAAAAACUGGGAGUGCUGCGGCUGGAAUCCCAUUCCCAUCAGACUUGAUUUUUCCCCUGCAAGCUCCAGUUUGGGAGUUAAAGGAAUAAUAUAUAAAACCUUGGGUGUUGAACAAUGUUUGUCAUGUCCCAGGUGCUGUAGGAAAGGAUGGUGCUUGAGAUGGGGCAAAAAGGCAGGAAAAUCCCUUUAAGGCAAAUACAGGGACUCGCAGGGGAUGUGGCACCGGUCCUGUGUUUUCCCUGUCCCUGAAGGGGGAGAGAGCUGGGAAACACAAAGAUGAUGGGUUUGGGGUACUCUUGCAGAAAUUCUGCUCCCUGGACCUGGGCUUCCCUUUCCUUCUGGCAGAAUGGCAAGGCCAGUUGCUCAUCCCAAUGGAUGGUGUGUGAUUUCAGUCCAUUUAAACCACCACGGAGAGGUCGUGUUUAUACACCAAGUGCGUGGGGUAAUGGCACCUGUAAUUAAAAACGUUCUCCCAAGUGAAAUAAAAACUCACUGUGGUGGAAAGCUCUUGGCUGCUCCUCCUUGGCUCUCCAGGACAAGGUGCAAUCUGGAUUUUGGUGAUGCAGGGCUGGGAAUCAUCCAUCACUGGGACCCUCUCCACCCAGGGAUGUCACUGGGGAAGCAGAGAUGCAGGUAAAUCCCCCAUCACAGGCCCUGGGCUUGUUUUUCCUAAGAAACUCUGAAUUUCACACAAAUACAAGGAGCUGGGAUGCAGCAGAGAGAUCCCUGAAAGUGAAUCUGGGAAUAUGGAGAGCCAGAGCUGGGCUCACGAGGGGUGUGGGGCUGAGGUGACCCCAGCACCGACCCUGGAUGAGGGCAGCUCCCUGUGCAGAGUUCCAGAGGCAGGGAAGCACCUUCUUGAAUAUCCAGAGGAGGCUCUGGGGUGAAUUUUAAUUUCUUUUCAUUUUUGUUGUUGAUUUUUAGAGUGCUUGGCACCUCCUGCCUCUUUUUCAUUCCUUUCCUCCUUGAUUCCGUCCAAAUGAGCAGGAAGCAAGGCUGCUGACCAUGGAUCUUCCCAGCAAUGCCGUUGCUGUCCUGUCCAUCCCGAGGAAAGGGUGAAGUCUGGCAUCCAUCUGCGGCUGAGCCAGUGCAUCCAUGAGGUGAGAGUGGCCACCGGCAGCUCCAGGGAAGAGGCCCCAAUUUCUCCCCUGUCGAGGCAAACGCUUUGGCUAAUUAGCAAAACGUGUCAAAGAAAAUGAUUAAUGUCCCGGGAGGAGGCUGAGCUGCCUUUGUGCUGGCAUUGCCUGACUUCUGCUCUUAAAGGUUUUAUUAAAAGAUAAGGGAGCUCGUGACGGGGAACCUCUCGUGCUGCUGAUUCAGAAAUAAACCUGAGGAGUGGUUGGCAGUGAAGGCAGCGGUGAGGAGACGUGCAGAGCCCGGGGCUUGCAGAGGAGUUCUGGGGAGACUGGGAAAAGGAGCGCCCUCCCUCUGGAAGCAGCGGGGUUUGAGCCCUCGCCUGUGACGCAGUUUUGCUCGUAGAUAUAAAUAAAAACAUAAAUAUAUAUAUA